rnacentral:rRNA from 1 species
UAGGGAAUCUUCCACAAUGGACGCAAGUCUGAUGGAGCAACGCCGCGUGAGUGAAGAAGGUCUUCGGAUCGUAAAACUCUGUUGUUAGAGAAGAACAUGCAGGAGAGUAACUGUUCUUGUAUUGACGGUAUCUAACCAGAAAGCCACGGCUAACUACGUGCCUAG